rnacentral:rRNA from 1 species
CCUACGGGAGGCAGCAGUGGGGAAUUUUGGACAAUGGGCGCAAGCCUGAUCCAGCAAUGCCGCGUGCAGGAUGAAGGCCUUCGGGUUGUAAACUGCUUUUGUACGGAACGAAACGGCGAGCUCUAAUAAAGUUCGCUAAUGACGGUACCGUAAGAAUAAGCACCGGCUAACUACGUGCCAGCAGCCGCGGUAAUACGUAGGGUGCAAGCGUUAAUCGGAAUUACUGGGCGUAAAGCGUGCGCAGGCGGUGAUGUAAGACAGAUGUGAAAUCCCCGGGCUCAACCUGGGACCUGCAUUUGUGACUGCAUCGCUAGAGUACGGUAGAGGGGGAUGGAAUUCCGCGUGUAGCAGUGAAAUGCGUAGAUAUGCGGAGGAACACCGAUGGCGAAGGCAAUCCCCUGGACCUGUACUGACGCUCAUGCACGAAAGCGUGGGGAGCAAACAGGAUUAGAUACCCUGGUAGUCCACGCCCUAAACGAUGUCAACUGGUUGUUGGGUCUUCACUGACUCAGUAACGAAGCUAACGCGUGAAGUUGACCGCCUGGGGAGUACGGCCGCAAGGUUGAAACGUCAAAUGAAUUGA